rnacentral:rRNA from 1 species
UACGUAGGGGUGCAAGCGUUUAUCCGGGAAUUAUUUGGGGCGUAAAGAGCUCGUAGGCGGGUUUGUCGCGUCUGCUGUGAAAACUGGGGGCUCAACCCCCAGCCCUGCAGUGGGGUUACGGGGCAGACUAGAGUGCGGGUAGGGGGAGAUUGGGAAUUCCUGGUGUAGCGGGUGGAAUGCGCAGAUAUUCAGGGAGGGAACACCCGGGUGGGCGGAAGGGCGGGGUCUCCUUGGGGCCCGGAUAUUGAC